rnacentral:rRNA from 1 species
GAUGAACGCUGGCGGCGCGCCUAAUACAUGCAAGUCGAGCGAAGCGGGGACGGGUGAGUAAGACGUGGAUAACCUCCUAUAAGACUGGGAUAACGUCGGGAAACCGGAGCUAAACCGGAGACUUAUAGAUGGAUCCGCGCUGCAUGAGCUAGUUGGUAAGGGAACGGCUUACCAAGGCAACGAUGCAUAGCCGACCUGCGAGGGUGACCGGCCACGCUGGAGCUGAGCCACGGUCCACACUCCUGCGGGUGGCAGACGUAGCGAAUCUUCCGCAAUGGGCGGAAGCCUGCCGUAGCAACGCCCCGUGAGUGAUGCAGGUCAUCGGAUCGUAAAACUCUGUUAUUAGGGAUGCGGUACCUACUCAGAAAGCCACGGCUCACUUCGUGCCAGCAGCCGCGGUAAUAC